UCGAGAAUCUUUCGCAAUGGGCGAAAGCCUGACGAAGCGACGCCGUGUGUGUGAUGAAGGCCUUCGGGUUGUAAAGCACUUUCGCCUGGGAACAAGAGACCUUGGCUAACAUCCAGGGAAUUUGAGAGUAUCAGGUAAAGAAGCACCGGCUAACUACGUGCCAGCAGCUGCGGUAAUACGUAGGGUGCAAGCAUUAAUCGGAUUUAUUGGGCGUAAAGGGCGUGUAGGCGGACAUAUAAGUCAGAUGUGAAAUCCCGGGGCUCAACUCCGGAACAGCAUUUGAAACUGUAUAUCUAGAGGGUAGACGGAGAAAACGGAAUUCCACAAGUAGCGGUGAAAUGCGUAGAUAUGUGGAAGAACACCAGUGGCGAAGGCGGUUUUCUAGUUUAUACCUGACGCUGAGGCGCGAAAGCAAGGGGAGCAAACAG
rnacentral:rRNA from 1 species